rnacentral:tRNA from 1 species
GAGGGUAUAGCUCAGUGGUAGAGCAUUCGACUGCAGAUCGAGUGGUCCCCCCGGUUCAAACCCGAGUGCCCCCU